GUCUUCCUGGUGUAGUGGUCAGCACUCUCAACUGGUAACCAAGAGGUCCGUGGUUCGAUUCCCGGAGAAGGCG
rnacentral:tRNA from 1 species